rnacentral:rRNA from 1 species
GGCGGCGGCAUGCUUCACAUGCUAUGUCGAACGCGAAAAGGGGGCACCCCUGAGUAGAGUGGCGAACGGGUGAGUAAUACAUCGGAACGUGUCCAGUAGCGGGGGAUAACCUCUCGAAAGAGAGGCUAAUACCGUAUACGACCUACGGGUGAAAGAGGGGGAUCGUAAGACCUCUCACUAUUGGAGCGGCCGAUGUCGGAUUAGCUAGUUGGUGGGGUAAAGGCCUACCAAGGCGACGAUCCGUAGCUGGUCUGAGAGGACGAUGCAGCCAGACUGGAACUGAGACACGGUCCAGACUCCUAACGGGAGGCAGCAGUGGGGAAUUUUGGACAAUGGGCGCAAGCCUGAUCCAGCCAUGCCGCGUGAGUGACGAAGGCCUUCGGGUUGUAAAGCUCUUUCGGCGGGGACGAACAGGUUCGUGUUAAUACCGCGAAUCCAUGACGGUACCCGCAGAAGAAGCACCGGCUAACUACGUGCCAGCAGCCGCGGUAAUACGUAGGGUGCAGGCGUUAAUCGGAAUUACUGGGCGUAAAGCGUGCGCAGGCGGUUUGCUAAGACAGGUGUGACAUCCCCGGGCUUAACCUGGGAAC